AAAAUUGCCCUCCUCCCUUCCUCACACUUUCAGAACACGCCUUUCGCACCCAAACCAGAAAAACUUCAAUCCCAGCGAUCUCUCUCGUUCUCCUAGCGAUCUCUCUCGUUCUCCUAGCGAUCUCUCUCGUUCUACAGGUUGCGUUCUUCGGCUUGGCGUCCUUCCUCUGGUUACAUGUGUAUAUUCAAUAUGAACACCUCUAAUGAUGAUGUUGAGGAUUUGGAGGAUGAUCUAAUUAUAUGCGCUGUAGCGAGAGUUGUUGAAACAUAUUAUUUAAAAUAUGUCCAUAAAACUCCGUGUAUGAAUUCUUUCCAAACAGGUAAUAUUUGGUUGAUAGAAGUACUACAAGGAAAUGAUGUGUAAAGCUAUAGAAUGUUUACGAUGAACAAAGAUGUCUUUUAUAGAUUAUCCAAUGACUUGCAAACUAAUUAUGGAUUGAAAGGUUCAAGGAGAAUGUAUGCAACUGAAAUAUUAGGAAUGUUCUUGCAUAUGUUAGGACAUGGUGUGAAAAAUAUAUUAGCGCAAAAGAGAUUUCAACAUUCUAGUGAGACUGUUAGUAGAUAUUUUGGUGCUAUGUUAGAUAUCGUAUAUAAGAUGGCAAUAGAUAUUAUCAAACCGAUGGAUUCGGAAUUUCGUGGCAUUCCCCAAGAAAUAAGGAGAGAUGCAAGAUACAUGUCUCAUUUUAAGGAUUGUAUUGGUGCCAUAGAUGGAGUACAUGUUGAGGCUUCAAUACCACCUUCGGAUCAAGUUACAUACAUUAGUAGGAAAUGAAUGCCAACUCAAAAUGUUAUGGUUGCAUGUAAUUUUGACAUGCAAUUCACAUUUGCUUAUGCCGGAUGGGAAGUCACUGCACAUAAUACAAGGGUUUUUCUAUCCAUGCUACGGAAUCCAAAUUUAUACUUUUCUAAGCCUCGAAAUGGUAAUCUUCAUACUUAUUAUAACAUUUUACAUACUUGCUUUGUAUAAUUAUUACAAUACAAAACAAAAUUUUCAA